ACUUUUUAGUCCGUCCGCGAACGUUACGCAGUUUAUUGUAUUUCCAUACAUAUUAUUCACUUUUUCGUUCACAUCUAACGGACAACAC